AUUGAACGCUGGCGGCAGGCCUAACACAUGCAAGUCGAACGAGCGGCGGACGGGUGAGUAAUGUCUGGGAAACUGCCUGAUGGAGGGGGAUAACUACUGGAAACGGUAGCUAAUACCGCAUACCCUCAGAUGUGCCCAGAUGGGAUUAGGUAGUGGGUGGGGUAACGUCUCACCGAGGCGACGAUCCCUAGCUGGUCUGAGAGGUUGACCAGCCACACUGGAACUGAGACACGGUCCAGACUCCUACGGGAGGCAGCAGUGGGGAAUAUUGCACAAUGGGCGCAAGCCUGAUGCAGCCAUGCCGCGUGUGUGAAGAAGGCCUUCGGGUUGUAAAGCACUUUCAGUGAGGAGGCGUUACUCGAAGAAGAAGCACCGGCUAACUCCGUGCCAGCAGCCGCGGUAAUAC
rnacentral:rRNA from 1 species